rnacentral:SRP_RNA from 1 species
CAUGAUUAUUUAGAACAGUAUUAUUUUACAAACCCAGUCAGGUCUGGAAAGAAGCAGCUGUAGUAAACAUAAUAUGUGUAAAAAAUAGUCAUGUUC